CGGCGGACGGGUGAGUAAUGCCUAGGAAUCUGCCUGGUAGUGGGGGACAACGUUUCGAAAGGAACGCUAAUACCGCAUACGUCCUACGGGAGAAAGCAGGGGACCUUCGGGCCUUGCGCUAUCAGAUGAGCCUAGGUCGGAUUAGCUAGUUGGUGAGGUAAUGGCUCACCAAGGCGACGAUCCGUAACUGGUCUGAGAGGAUGAUCAGUCACACUGGAACUUAGACACGGUCCAGACUCCUACGGGAGGCAGCAGGA
rnacentral:rRNA from 1 species